rnacentral:snRNA from 1 species
UCGCUUCAGUAGUGCAUAUACUGAAAUUGGAAUGAUCGAGAGACGAGAUUAGCAUGGCCCCUGUGCAAGAAUGACAUGCAAGCUCAUGAAGCUUUCCAUAUUAAA